GCGCGGGGCGGAGCUUGCGGUCCUGGCGCGGCUCCAGGUUCGUGUGCCCCGGUUCUGGAGGUUGCUCAGUAACUGCUCGGCGUGGACAGGGACGGUUCCUUUCUGAGUUAUGGAUUUUGAAAAUCUUUUCUCAAAACCCCCCAAUCCGGCCCUUGGCAAAAAACCGGCCGCCGACUCUGAAGAAAGAACCGAUGACGUAGAUGGUGCUGAAGUUCAAACACAGACAGAGAAAGUAAAAUGGAAAGCAAAGCGAAACAGUGACCAGAGUCCCAAGAAAUUUAAGCACCUGGGAAACUCUACAGCAUCGCCAAAGGGUUUGCCCUGUAGAAAAUCAAGAAGUAAGGACUAUGACCCGUACAGUGACGGUGAGACCUGCACUCAGGAACCAGAAGAUAAUUUUGACAAAGAGCUUCAACAGUACAUACAGGCCAAGGAAAUGGCAAGUGCUGCUCAGCUCUCACUGCUGCCUGGAGAAUCUGUGAGAAAGGAGGGAGCAGCAGGCACCCAGCAGACUGCCAAACAAAAAAAUAAGAAAUCUAAAUCUGGUCACAAGAAAGUUAAACAGAAGAAAAUGAAGCGCAAGUGGCCCGGCACUGGAAACCAAGGGUCAAGUGUCUCGCUGAAGAACAGUGGCUCCCAAGGAAAGACUGGUGAACCUGAAGAGAAGCAGCCACGUGUAAGGAUGAGUCAAGGCUUCAUCAAUCAGCACACAGUGGAACGUAAGGGGAAGCAAGUUUGCAAAUACUUUCUUGAAAGGAAAUGUAUUAAGGGAGACCAGUGUAAGUUUGAUCAUGAUGCGGAGAUAGAGAAAAAGAAGGAGAUGUGUAAGUAUUACGUACAAGGGUAUUGCAACAAAGGCGAGAACUGCCUGUAUUUGCAUAAUGAAUACCCUUGCAAGUUUUAUCACACAGGAACAAAAUGUUAUCAGGGCGAUCACUGUAAUUUUUCUCAUGCCCCACUGACGGCGGAAACACAGGAACUGUUGGCUAGAGUUUUGGAUUCUGAAAAGAAGUCGUGUAAAUAGCCUGAGAAGUGGAUGUAAAGAUGGUGCCCUGUGGCUGAUUUGCAUGACACGCAGCAUCCUUCUAUAGAGGACAAAUCUAUUCCUGUUCAGGUCUUUUGAAGACUGGCCAUUUGGAAUAGUUCGAAGGUCCCUCAGUUAACGCAUCCUCCUGUGUGGUUGUGAUCGUGUGCAGCUCCCAGGUCUAGUGCUCAAGUGAAGGGUGGCUCUGCACUGGAAGACGGGAGAGGAGCACGUGCAUGCUGGCUGCAGUGGAUGCUGUGCUGAGCUAGGUCCCGGUGGAGACUGCCGAGAACAAGAUGGGCAGAGGAUGGGAGAAGUGAGGACGGGAAGUAUAGGGCGGUGACGAGGGAGAACUGCCAGGGGACAGUGGGGUGAAAAAAUAAGUCACGUCUCUACGUGUCAUUAAAUACUUUGCACAAUGUUUUUUUAGCAAUAAUUCAGAGUUCCAUUUUAUGGUUUAGCAUAGAAUGUGGUUCUGUUAUCUUUUUAAAAACAAUUUUCUGAUGGAUAUUUGUUUCUAAUUAUUUCUGUUAUAAAUAAAGUGGGACAAUAUAA